AUGCAGAAACCCAGAGAUGACAUACUGUCAAGAUUCAUACAGGAAAGUGAGAAGGAUCCUGAGACAAUGAACGAUCGUUACCUUCGUGACAUAGUCCUCAGUUUCCUGAUUGCUGGUAAAGAUACCACAGGAAAUACCCUUACAUGGUUCUUCUGCAUGCUCUGUAAGAACCCGGUAGUGCAGGAUAAGGUUGCCUUUGAAAUCAGAGAAUAUGUUGAGUGGGCUCAAGAAGAUACCAGCAUGGAAAUGUUCACCGCAAGAUUGAAACAAGGUGCUAUUGACAAAAUGCACUACCUCCAUGCUGCGAUUACCGAGACCCUCCGGCUGUAUCCUGGUGUUCCGGUGGAUGGUAAGAUGGUAGAUGAAGAUGACGUACUACCAAACGGCCAACGCGUGAUAAAAGGAGAUGGAAUGAACUACAUGAUUUAUGCCAUGGGGAGGAUGAAAUACCUUUGGGGUGAGGAUGCUGAAGAAUUCAGGCCUGAAAGAUGGCUUGUGGAUGGAGUCUUUCAGCAAGAGAGCCCUUACAAGUUUAUAGCUUUCAAUGCAGGACCUCGUAUCUGCUUGGGGAAGGAAUUUGCAUACAGACAGAUGAAAAUUGUGUCUGCUACCCUGAUACGAUUCUUCAGGUUCAGACUGGAGGAUGAAUCCAAGGGUCCAACAUACAAAACAAUGUUUACCCUCCACAUGGAUAACAGCCUUCAUCUAUUUGUGUACCCCGUGAAAUUUAUGCUUGAAAAUCAGAACAAGCUACUAGAUCCUCUGUUCUUGCACUGA
rnacentral:rRNA from 1 species